rnacentral:misc_RNA from 1 species
GAUGAAGAACGUAGCGAAAUGCGAUAAGUAAUGUGAAUUGCAGAAUUCAGUGAGUCAUCGAAUCUUUGAACGCACAUUGCGCCCCCUGGUAUUCCGGGGGGCAUGCCUGUCCGAGCGUCAUUACAACCCUCAAGCUCAGCUUGGUGUUGGGCCCCGCCGCCCCGGCGGGCCCUAAAGUCAGUGGCGGUGCCGUCCGGCUCCGAGCGUAGUAAUUCUUCUCGCUCUGGAGGUCCCGUCGUGUGCUCGCCAGCAACCCCCAAUUUUUUUCAGGUUGACCUCGGAUCAGGUAGGGAUACCCGCUGAACUUAAGCAUAUCAAUAAGCGGAGGA